GGGAGAGACAAGAGAGGACUGUACCACGGCAGAUCGUUAUACCUUUUCUACUGAUGUUUUUCAAGGCGUACACGUGUGACAGAACAUUAACAGACACGGAGCCGCACAAUGCCGGUGACCGCGCAGCGCACACGCAUCCCGAAGCGUCCGCGGACCGGGGACGCACAGCCAGUCUACGCAGGCGCUCAGGCUAACAAAGCUGGCAGCUGGUUCUCCCGAGGAAGGUCUAUUCUUGUCUCCCCCUACCCGUCACCUGGAUGUUGAUGUACCGGCCGCCUGUGCUCACGUAUGUGAUGUUACUGUAAAAACAGGUCAGCGCUCUCUCCUGUAGGCAGUUCUUGCAAAAAAAAAUAAAAAAUGGGAAUCGACAAAAAUCCUCCGUGCUGACCACUUCAGGCAGCGCAAGUAUUGGGGGAUCAUCAAAAAUAAUCUGUGAAAAAUAGCUACUACCGCAUAAAUUCACUAGAUAAAAAUAUGACCAUAAAGCCAGGCGUGUAGGAUAUGUAGGUAGAUCAAAAAGCACUGAUCAGUCUCUGGAGAUUCUCGAGACAGACAGCCAGUUCCAUUCCAUACACAGGACUACUUUAGAACAUAAGAACAUAAGAACUAUACAAACGAGAGGAGGCCAUUCGGCCCAUCAAGCUCGCUUGGGGAGAACUAAACUAAUAGC